rnacentral:misc_RNA from 1 species
UAAAGUGCGAUAUCUAAUGUGAUUUGCAUGAAUCUGUGAGUCAUCUAGUCUUUGAACGCAACUUGCACCUCUCGAGAAAUCGAGCGGUAUGUCUGUUUGAGAACCAUGAACCUCUUUGCUCAUAUCUUUCUUUAUGUUAUGAUGUGGCAGAUAUGAGACACUUUUUUUUUUGUGUCUUGAAAUAAAGCAUGCAGGGCUUGUGAGCGUGUGCCAUGUGCUAGAGAUCGCAAGAUCUUGUCAUGGUGUACGAGAACGGCCGAACUUUUAUACAUUUAUAAUAAUCCGAGGUCUCAAAUCAGGCAAGAUUACCCGCUGAACUUAA